UUUAAAAAGAUAUUUAAUGGUAGCCAAUGUAAAUCAAGGAGAUUUUGUAUAAUGGACAGUGAGUCUCAAAAAUGUUGACUUAAGCAAUUAUAGGUGUAAAUUGUACAGCCUUCAACAAUAAGAAAAACCCAUUGUGUAUAGUCAGCCUUAAAAGGACCAGAUAUUAAAAUAGAAACAAAACAAAAAAACAUAAUUUAUGAGCAAACAAUCAACGAAAAACAGAUAUAACAUACAGCAACCAAUGACAACCACUCAAUUACAGGCUCAUAGAGAAUGUGGAGUGGUUAAACAUGUUUGUAAGUGCAUUAUAUGAGAGUACUCAGUUAAUGAGAAAAUAAAUAUUCUGCCCGAAUCAAACAGUACACAUCAAAUGGAUUUUGGGCACAGAUGUAAAAAAAACAACAACAUAUAAGUGAUGUUGGGAAUUAAUGCAGUAACUAUAAUAGAUCAAGAGAAACCAAGAAUCAGAAUAAGGUACACACAUGAUAAUGCAUGACUUAUUGUCAAUUAACCCCUGGAAGCAGUUAAAGAUCAGGCGUUUUUUUAAGUUCAGAAAUAAUUUAAAAGACAAACUGAUAACAAUAAAAAUUGUCAAAAAUAAAAGAUUCAACCAUUGGAUGUAAAGAGACAUUGCCUUUCAUGAUGAUUUGAAGACUUCGUGUUCCAGACAAUCAUUAAUACCAUGAUGGGCAUGGUAGAAAAAGUUAACAGCAA
rnacentral:lncRNA from 1 species